AUGACUUGUGAUAAAACUAUAUUAAUUUCACCAUAAUUACCAUAAAAAAAAUCAAAAAGGAAUUAUGGGAAAAC
rnacentral:sRNA from 1 species